AACGAACGCUGGCGGCGUGCCUAACACAUGCAAGUCGAGCGGGAAAGUUCCCUUCGGGGAGCGAGUACAGCGGCGAACGGGUGAGUAACACGUAGGUAACCUACCCUGGAGACUGGGAUAACCUGCCGAAAGGCGGGCUAAUACCAGAUAAGACCACGAGGGCUGCGGCCUUUGGGGUAAAAGAUGGCCUCUGCUUGUAAGCUAUCAUUCCGCGAUGGGCCUGCGCGCCAUUAGCUAGUUGGUGGGGUAACGGCUCACCAAGGCUGAGAUGGCUAGCUGGUCUGAGAGGAUGGCCAGCCACACUGGGACUGAGACACGGCCCAGACUCCUACGGGAGGCAGCAGUGGGGAAUAUUGCGCAAUGGGCGAAAGCCUGACGCAGCGACGCCGCGUGGGUGAUGAAGGCCUUCGGGUCGUAAAGCCCUGUCAAGAGGGGCGAAACCUCGUUGACCUAAUACGUCGGCGACCUGACGGUACCUCUGAAGGAAGCACCGGCUAACUCCGUGCCAGCAGCCGCAGUAAAAC
rnacentral:rRNA from 1 species